CCCUGUUCCUCGCUAAUCCCCAUUUCCCCUCGCUGCGCCAACCCCAACCACUCCGGCAUUCCGCCCCCGUCGAAGCUUCGAGGAGCUAGCUAGGGCUUCCCAUCCCGAUGGCCGCCGUGAAGCCCUCGCCGCCGCCGGUGCCGGCGCAGAUCGUCGUCGUGGUGCUCGCGCUCGCGCGCGUCGUCCUCGCCCUGAUGCUGGCGCUCGGCCGCGGCCGAAGCGCUCCCCUACCUGGGCUUCGCGGCUCUGUGGGUCAUCUCCGCGGCCGCGGCUGCCAGGGUCGUGGGGAGCGGAGCCUGGGACGAGGGCUCCGCCCCCGCCGUGUUUCUCCAGGCGCUCACAGGCGGGGCUCUCAAGGCCAGCUUCCUUGUCCUGCAAGCGCUUGGCGCCGUGAUGCUGUGCGGCCAGUUCCUGCUCUACGUGGUUGCAGCUGUAUCUGGAUCCGGUUCAGAGUUCCAGAAGGAAUGGGAUGUGGUAUAGUGUUUCAUGUGAGUUCAUCUGCAUCGUUCAAUUUUCGACCCAUUCCAUACUCAGGCCCCUCGUUGUGGUUUUGCUGAAUUUGCUGCCCCCCUCAGAGAGCCCAUGGAGCUUUCAACCAGGAGUUGAUUAGGGGCGUUCCUCCCCGCACUGCAGUCCUUGGAACGUUCGCGUCUACGCCCUUCAUCCUGCUAAUUUUAGCCGGUUCUCUGGUGCAAUGCAUGAUGUCGAAAAAGAUUGGUUCUGUGAUGGUGGAUGUGGGGAUAUUUGGCUCCAGUGCGAUACCUUGCUUUGUGGUCAUUCCAGCUGUAGUACUGAGUAACUGGAGGGAGGACCAGAUGUCAAAGAAAAACAUGACUCACAUUGCAGACUGUUGAGACAUAACACUGAAUGGAAGGUGUGAAGAUGGGCAAGGCAAAUUACAAGAGCUGACUCUUUGCUGAAGUUUAUGGCCGCUGAUGAGUUCUGGGUUAUAGUUAUCUGUAGACAUGACUGUAGAUUGGUCCACCGCUAGUAUUGUAUACUCCACGUGUUACGAGCUCCUGUAAUUCGACAUCGUAGUGUUCUAGUGUUUACUUGCUGCUGGGAGGUCGGGAGUACGAGACCAGAUAAUUAACGAGGGGUAUAAAUAACACCCUCCCGGAGGAGAAUGCUUUUCUAGGCGUGUAGAAUUUGCCAUGUUUGCACUUAUGCUGGGUGACUACUAUUUCUUUGCAAGUCAAUGGCCCAUCAACAUCUCUUAGCUAUAAAGGUUGUUCAACAUUUCUCGUCUGUCUGAAAUUUCUGCCUAGGAGUCUGUCUGAAAUUUCUGCCUAGGAGCAUCGACGUGAGGACAACGUAGGAUCUUCUCACCAGUCACCACUGACAAAUCCGCCUUGUUUACGGUAUUCUCAGUUUUACUGUAUCGCCAGUUUGCAAUCAACAUUGUUAUGGAUUACAUAUGACUGGCAAUUUUACAUA